UUUUUCAGGAAAUCAUCGAGUAUGUCCUGUUAAUCUGAAAAUGAAAAAGGAAGCGACUUUAUCGGAUUCAGGUCAUCGUUUUCAAAUGACGAAAUUGAUUCUGAUGCUAUUUCCAAGAAAGGAGUACCAUUCCUUAUAUCUUAUAAAUCAUUCGACAGUGCAACCUUCGGUAGCGAUUUUGACAAAGUAUUUAUUGCAGAUUCUAAUG